AUUGAACGCUGGCGGCAUGCCUAACACAUGCAAGUCGAACGGCAGCACGAUUUAGUUUACUAGAUUGGUGGCGAGUGGCGCACGGGUGAGUAAUGCGUAGGAAUAUACCUUAAAGUGGGGGACAACCUGGGGAAACUCAGGCUAAUACCGCAUGAGCUCUAAGGAGGAAAGCUGGGGACCAGAGAUGGCCUGGCGCUUUAAGAAUAGCCUACGUCCGAUUAGCUAGUUGGUGAGGUAAAGGCUUACCAAGGCUACGAUCGGUAGCUGGUCUGAGAGGAUGAUCAGCCAAACUGGGACUGAGACGCGGCCCAGACUCCUACGGGAGGCAGCAGUGGGGAAUAUUGGACAAUGGGGGCAACCCUGAUCCAGCGAUGCCGCGUGUGUGAAGAAGGCCUGCGGGUUGUAAAGCACUUUCGGUGGGGAGGAGGGCUAUUAGGUUAAGAGCUAGAUAGUUGGACGUUACCCAAAGAAGCAGCACCGGCUAACUCCGUGCCAGCAGCCGCGGUAA
rnacentral:rRNA from 1 species